rnacentral:rRNA from 1 species
CCCUUAGAUGUUCUGGGCAGCACGCGCACUACAAUGGUCUUCGCAAACGGAUGCAUUCUCGAAGGAGAAUGCCAAUCUUGGAAUCUAUGCCUUGGUCGGGACAGUUGCUUGCAAUUUUUCGACUCGAACCAGGAAUUCCUUGUAAUCGUGAUUCAUCACAUCACGAUGAAUACGUCCCUGCCCUUUGUACACACCGCCCGUCGCUCCUACCGAUCGAAGAGUUAGGUGAAUUGUUUUGAUCGAUAAGAUUUGACUAUGGUCAACUCUCGCUGUGAAAUUCUGUGAAUCUGACUGUUUAGAGGAAGGAAAAGUCGUAACA